GACGAACGCUGGCGGCGUGCUUAACACAUGCAAGUCGAACGAUGAAGCUCCUGCUUGCAGGGGUGGAUUAGUGGCGAACGGGUGAGUAACACGUGAGUAACCUGCCCCUGACUGUGGGAUAAGCCCGGGAAACUGGGUCUAAUACCGCAUAUGACACCUGGCCGCAUGGUCUGGGUGUGGAAAGUUUUUCGGUUGGGGAUGGGCUCGCGGCCUAUCAGCGUGUUGGUGGGGUAAUGGCCUACCAAGGCGACGACGGGUAGCCGGCCGGAGAGGGCGACCGGCCACACUGGGACUGAGACACGGCCCAGACUCCGACGGGAGGCAGCAGUGGGGAAUAUUGCACAAUGGGGGAAACCCUGAUGCAGCGACGCCGCGUGAGGGAUGACGGCCUUCGGGUUGUAAACCUCUUUCAGUAGGGAAGAAGCCUUCGGGUGACGGUACCUGCAGAAGAAGUACCGGCUAACUACGUGCCAGCAGCCGCGGUAA
rnacentral:rRNA from 1 species